CUCGCAGCUUGUCAUGUCCAGGUUCCUGCCCUGCUCUUCCAGAACAGCGGCCCCCUGGGCUCCUCGGUGGGCAGUCUGUCAUCUAACAAGUCACUCACGGUGGCUAACCUUGGUUUCCAGUAACUCAGUGUGGUCGCUGGGGUAACAAUAUUAAUGAAUUCAUUCAAUUCUACAAAAAUAAACAGAAGACUGAACAUGCCCCAGACUUCGUGGCAUUAACCACCACCCCACGGACGGGAAUACUCUGCUGGGUUCUGAUCUUGGAAAGACCUGUCCCUCACAGCUCGCUGUGGUGGAGCCAUGAGCCGGCGUGUCCGGGUCUGUGAUUUUGUGUCUGGGUGUGGUUUCUUUUGUGCAAGAGCUUUAGCGUUUCUUCUCCACACAAGCCCAUCCAUCUCCGUGGUGAGCUUGGGAUCCCGGCUCGGGCUUCCCUGGAAAAUCAAUGGUGGCAACAGAAGCAGAUUUAAGACCCGGGCCGGGCUGAGGAGACGAUGCGCCGCUGAGCUGGGGAGCUGUCCACCCACAGUGACCUGCGGGGCAAGUCCCAGCCGCAGCGUCGUGGCCCCGAACCAAAGAAAACACACCGAUAAAUUUUAUCUGCCCCUCUGUUCCCGGGCCCAGGAGCAGGAAGGCGUGGACGCCAAGGCCCCAAGUCAGGCGCUGAGCGGUCCUCUGCGUGAAGGCUGACGCAGAAACUGGGUUUUUCUGGGUUUCCUGAGCUACUGUGUCCAAAGGAGGCUCCAUCAUCACGAAAGACCAACGAUUCUGAUAUUGAAUCCGAGCAAGGCAAAACCUCGUGGCCUAAUUUAAAAUGAUGACCUAGGCCAGUGGUCGGCAAACUCAUUAGUCAACAGAGCCAAAUAUCAUCAGUACAACGAUUGAAAUUUCUUUUGAGAGCCGAAAACCGACUUCUGCGCACGGGCCACGAAGUUUCAAUCGCACUGUACGUGCGCGCCCGCACGUGGCAUUUUGUGGAAGAGCCACACUCAAGGGGCCAAAGAGCCGCAUGUGGCUCGCGAGCCGCAGUUUGCCGACCAUGGACCUAGGCUUUUCUCAGAACACACAGUUCUGCUCCCUCCGCAGGAACGUCGUCCAGGAGGCAUAGCUGGGGUCUCUGGCAAAGAUGAUCCGAGAGGCCAAGUUUACCGGUUGCACUUGAAAAAGAAAUAAGUAGCCAAGCUGCCUCCACGGGGCUGGGGGACCCGCCUGUCGGAACGGGGUGUGGACAGUGACAUGUGUGGGAAAGCAAUUCCCGGGAAGCUCUCACGUGCCCGUGAGAGAUCGUGGGACGAGGGGGCGAGG